AGAGAGCUUGCUCUCUGAUUCAGCGGCGGACGGGUGAGUAAUGCCUAGGAAUCUGCCUGGUAGUGGGGGACAACGUUUCGAAAGGAACGCUAAUACCGCAUACGUCCUACGGGAGAAAGCAGGGGACCUUCGGGCCUUGCGCUAUCAGAUGAGCCUAGGUCGGAUUAGCUAGUUGGUGGGGUAAUGGCUCACCAAGGCGACGAUCCGUAACUGGUCUGAGAGGAUGAUCAGUCACACUGGAACUGAGACACGGUCCAGACUCCUACGGGAGGCAGCAGUGGGGAAUAUUGGACAAUGGGCGAAAGCCUGAUCCAGCCAUGCCGCGUGUGUGAAGAAGGUCUUCGGAUUGUAAAGCACUUUAAGUUGGGAGGAAGGGUUGUAGAUUAAUACUCUGCAAUUUUGACGUUACCGACAGAAUAAGCACCGGCUAACUCUGUGCCAGCAGCCGCGGUAAUACAGAGGGUGCAAGCGUUAAUCGGAAUUACUGGGCGUAAAGCGCGCGUAGGUGGUUUGUUAAGUUGGAUGUGAAAGCCCCGGGCUCAACCUGGGAACUGCAUCCAAAACUGGCAAGCUAGAGUAGGGCAGAGGGUGGUGGAAUUUCCUGUGUAGCGGUGAAAUGCGUAGAUAUAGGAAGGAACACCAGUGGCGAAGGCGACCACCUGGGCUCAUACUGACACUGAGGUGCGAAAGCGUGGG
rnacentral:rRNA from 1 species